rnacentral:rRNA from 1 species
GACGAACGCUGGCGGCGUGCCUAAUACAUGCAAGUCGAACGACGAGACUUUAACUGAUGCUUGCAUCGACCAAAAAAUCGGAGUGGCGAACGGGUGAGUAACACGUGAGCAACCUGCCCCUGACUCUGGGAUAAGCGCUGGAAACGGUGUCUAAUACUGGAUAUGUACCACGAUCGCAUGGUCUGUGGUUGGAAAGAUUUUUCGGUUGGGGAUGGGCUCGCGGCCUAUCAGCUUGUUGGUGAGGUAAUGGCUCACCAAGGCGUCGACGGGUAGCCGGCCUGAGAGGGUGACCGGCCACACUGGGACUGAGACACGGCCCAGACUCCUACGGGAGGCAGCAGUGGGGAAUAUUGCACAAUGGGCGCAAGCCUGAUGCAGCAACGCCGCGUGAGGGAUGACGGCCUUCGGGUUGUAAACCUCUUUUAGCAGGGAAGAAGCGAGAGUGACGGUACCUGCAGAAAAAGCGCCGGCUAACUACGUGCCAGCAGCCGCGGUAACAC